GCCGGUUUGGCUCAGUGGAUAGAGCGUUGGCCUGCGGACCCAAGGGUGCCGGGUUUGAGUCUGGUCAUGGGCA
rnacentral:tRNA from 1 species